rnacentral:misc_RNA from 1 species
UCUCCGUUGGUGAACCAGCGGAGGGAUCAUUACAGGGUUGAAAAACUCCCAAACCAUUGUGAGCGUUACCUAUCCCGUUGCUUCGGCGGGCGGCCCGGGCCCCGCGCCCGGCGCCCCCCGGCCCCCCGUGGGCGCCCGCCGGAGGUAAACCAAACCCUUGAAUUGCAUGGCCUCUCUGAGUCUUCUGUACUGAAUAAGUCAAAACUUUCAACAACGGAUCUCUUGGUUCUG